rnacentral:rRNA from 1 species
UACGUAGGGGGGCAAGCGUUGUCCGGAUUUAUUGGGCGUAAAGAGCGUGUAGGCGGCCUGAAAGGUCAGCUGUGAAAACUCGAGGCUCAACCUCGAGACGUCGGUUGAAACCAUCUGGCUAGAGUCCGGAAGAGGAGUGUGGAAUUCCCGGUGUAGCGGUGAAAUGCGCAGAUAUCGGGAAGAACACCGGUGGUGUAGACGGCUUUCUGGACCGUAACUGACGCUGAGACACGAAAGCGUGGGUAGCAAACAGG